UCUUCCAGCUGUGAACGUGGAAAAUUUACAGGAAGAAGCAAUUACAGAAGAUUUGAGAGAUAAAAAGACAAACGAUUCAUGCAUAAUGCAGAGCAGCAGAUUUCACUAAAACCAUUUAGUGUCUUUUCAGCUCGAAUCAAAGCUUCAAGUCCUGAAUUCUGAUGAGCGCACCAGGCGGCCGCGAUCUGGAAAAUGAACAAUUAAGAAGCGCGUCGCUAAUUAAGCGCAGAGAUCAAGCGCCUUUCUCUCCCCGCCCUCAAGGAGCUUCUUCCACCGGGCCCCCUUUGAUCAAAGCGAGGCCCCGAGCGGCGAUCGAGCCCCGCGACGGCGCGUUUGUCCCGCCGGCUAAACGCGGAUUAACACUCAGAAGAGAGAGGAGCAAAAACCGACAGAGGCAGAAAACACAACAAAUAUUUCCUGCUGAAGGAUCCAUGAAAGCCGCGGCUUGUUGAAUCAUCAUGAGUGAAAACAAAGAGGCCCGCUGCUCUCUGCAACUCUGCUCUCCGAAGCCAAAUGCAAAUGGAGCAGCUGUAAAAGUUUGAUUCGCGCAUGUUUAAUGUUCCUCAUUCCUUUUCUUCUGCUCUUGUUCUUGGGGAACAUGCAAAGUUUAUCAGCAGGGCCUGCGUCCCGGCUUUCAUGUCGGGCCUCGGCACGUCGACGGCGCCGCUGACAGAGAUUGAGGAGUCAGGUAGGAGCAGAGUUCGCCUGCAGGGCCGCGUGACGCCCGUGUCUGCUAAUCGGCGCUGACGUGCUCCUGAUGGCAGCCCUUCAUUAGAAGCUCCUUUAAAGGAGCUCCGACCUUCUGCGGGACCCGGCGCCCGCCUGUGUCGGCCUUUGAUUCCCGCGCCUCCGCCGCUUUCAGCUCGUCAUAAUGACAGCGCCGCUGACAGCUCCUCGUCACGCGCCUCUUGUCGUCUUUUGUGGGAAGUUUUGCAACAAUUAGCAUAAAUAUUUGAUCUCCUUCCGCCCUGAUGCUGCUGUUGCCGCUGCUGAAAUGGGAUCCGGCUGAAAGGCUGCCGGAAAACGGCAAACCUUUGUAAAGUGUACUUUUCUCCCCGUUAACAUACAAAGAUGAAGCGAGGGAGGCAAACAGCCAAACAUAUGUACCCUUUGUGGAAUCUUUUAUUGAACAUAUUUGGGAGCAAAGAGAGCAGAGUUUGAUUACGAGGCAAAUGCAAAUCUCCCCACACUUGUACGCGUUAUGUAUUUCACACCAACUUAUUUACAUUCUAGAUGGAAAGCAAUCGGCUGGAAGUUUACCGAGGGAAUCGCGGCUCCCCUGCCGACAGAGAGUCAAGAAACUUUCAGAAGCGGUGGUAACGAUCAGUCCCGAAGGCCUCCGUGUGUCUGUGGGCCUUCUUCUUCAUGGAUUAUGAAACACGGUGUUGCCAUUAGUUUCUGCAAUGUGUGUCUAUCUGACAAAUGCAGAAUGUAAAGUCAAACAAAGGCAUCAUCAUCACAGCAUGAUGGCCGACAGGAGUGUCACCAUGCGGCCACUUUAAAGAAGAAACAGCCCAUCUCCACAGAAGAUGGCGAUUCUCUCCCACGUGCUCGCUCUUCGUCUUCCGUCUCUGUGAAACAGCUUUUCACUCCAAGAACCUCAUCGUCAUCUGUCACCGAACUUCCUAACAAAGCCGUCAUGUAAAUGGACUCAGUCAGCUGUGUCCUCCAUCUCUGAUCCUCCUCUCCAAUAUAUAUAUAUCAUCAGCAUAAUAACCCUCAUCCACCCUCACCCGCCCCUGGGUGACCACAGGACUCCACCCACCUUCAGGCACUGGCAGCACCACUGGGAUUUAUUACCAAAGGCACGGAGGGGAUCCAGCACAGGCUUCAUUACAGGAUGUCACUAACCCACGUCAACGACGUAAGAUUCUGACAUCUCGACCAGCUCUGCUUCUUUGAUUUAAGAUGAGUUUAUUUGGUGUUGAGGAAAAAGGUCAGAGGACUCGCAGCAGCACCUCCGUGAUUUCUUACCAAAUUUAAAUUUCACAGUACAAAGAAAAAAAAAACAGGGUAUACUAAACUAUUCCGUUAAAAAACAGCAUGUAAAUAACGGAACUAACCACAGUGUUUACCAGACUUUAUUUCGGGGUGCUUUUAGCUCUAUAAUCUUGAUGGUUUAUGAGACUCUCCUGGUCUCGUCGCCUGCUGGGACUCCAUCUCGUCCCUGGCGCUCUUCAGGCUGAGCCAGGCCCCAAUGAGUUAUUAUUACAUCCUGAGAAUAUGCAAAUUGAGGCAGAGCGACGGUGUGUAUUUUUGAUGGAAGAAUACAAAUCACUGCAGACAUGACACUUUUUUAAUUUUCCUGAUGAAUGUAAUGCUUCAGAAAGAGGAAGGAUUGAUGACGGGGCGUAAUGAACUCUUUAGCACGUGGAAGCUCGCAGGCUUUUCAUUACAGCGUCCUGAGCGAAGCCGCUCGGGAUCCACGGAUCUGUCCUGACCGGCUCAACGAUGAACCUCGGGUCCAGGUCCUGGUCCGCACGGGGAGAAGAGUCUGCUUAUACACACACGUGAUCGGGUUUUUACGAGCUCCAUCAGUACGCGGGGACAGAAAAGGCGAUGUAUGUAUCUUUGUGUAAACUGUUGCCUCUUCUUCCUUAUCUCCCUCCCUCUCACUCUAUCCCAGCAUCCUCCUCUGUCACGCCAACCCUCUGCAUGUCCUCCUUCACUACAUCCAUGAAUCUUCUCAGAGGUCUUCUUCUUUUUCUCCUGCCUGGCAGCUCCAUCUUCAUCAUCCUUUUUUUUUUAAUCUACUCUCCCUCCUCUGCACAUGCCCAAACCAUCUCAGCCUCGCCUCCAUAACUUUGACUCCCAAACCGACUGUGUGACACUCAGAAAAGCAAAGAUUAUAAACUGUAUUUGAAUCAGAGAAAUUGUAGUUCACCUAAAUAGGAAUAAUAUCUUGGGUUUUAAUAUGAAUAUUUUAACAACAAAUAUCCUUUUACAGCUCAUAAAAACACAAACAGACAAAUAAAUAUUCUCUAAAGCAUUUAACACUUAAAUACUGACAAAUGAGACCCACACAGCAUUUUCCACAUCCUGACAUAACGAUCAGAAUAAUUAGUGAAGUUGAUAUUUGUCUACUUUUUCUUUAAAGGUAUAGUGUGCACAUUCUUUGCUACUAGAUGUCAGUAGAUUACAGUAACUGAGCUCUGUUUUCUAUCCCUCCCAAUUCAAGCAUAAUCCUACAGUGGCGCCUGUAGUACAAACAUGUUUCAGUCAGCCAAGAGACAUCGAAAACAUUUAGACUGCACCCCAAAAUGGCCGCGGCCAGUCAGUGUGUUUCUGCUACUGUUUAGACCCCAGAGUUUUUCCCCAUCUAUGUCAGUCUGCUGUUGACCUCAGCUGCCAAUGCCGGUGAGGAGUAUUCACUUGGCUGUAAAACUGUGUGAAAGGAGUGCGAUAUGAGUCGAUGUGUCAGUGAAGCUUGUUGAGGAUAUGCUGAACUGCUGGUAAGCUCUGCUGUUAGCCUCUGUUAGUGAAACUUUCUUUUUAUUGGAUGUAACUUUGUUGGACUCUGAUGCUUGUAUGUAAUCAAACUGCUGUUUAUGAGAGGCAAAGUUAGCCUAACGUUAGCUAGGAUAAGGUUAAUUUACUUUUUUGGGGGGGGCAUAACAGUAAUAAUAAUGAUGUGCAAUAAACAUUCACUCAUUCUUUUAUUUUUGCUCAUAUCUUUCUUGCACUUUAAAAAAAUAGAAUUACUGUGUUUUGUUGUGUUUAGCUGUGCCCACGUGGGACAGUUCCCAAUUCUGUUGUACUACUG